GUUGAAGUGUUUCAUCUGAAGCAAAGGUUACAAUCUCUGGAGAACAGAGCUGCUACCCCAAGAAAGCCUUUCCACGUCUAAACAUAAGACAAGAACCUUUAAGACUUGCAUUUUGUAAUAUUCCCUAGAAACUAAUGAAAACCAUCUGUGUGUUUGUGGAUUAAUGUAAAAAGAAAUUAAGAAAUCUCAAGACUCUAAUCAGAUUCCAAGCAUAAGAAGACACAAGUGAUAAUAUAAUAUACACAUCCAUCAUUUCUUUCCAUUAAACUUCAGCAAGCUUCUUACACAAAAUACAAAAUAAUUAAAGGGCAGCAACUAUUAAGCUCCUUACACAAAAUACAAACACAUCAGGGGAGACUUUUGGUCUUUCUCCGACCUAUCUGGCCUACGAUUAGCAUUAGUUAUAGACAUGGAAAAUAACAUUCAUCACUGGGACUCUUCCUCAGGUGGUUCUUCCUCUUCUUGAAGAAGGUUCUCACGGUUGUCAUGAGCCCAGAAGCCACGCACAUCUAUCAGCAUGCUCGCAACAGUUCCACCUUGUUUACAUCCCAAGAGAUCAUUCAGAGUGAUCUUCAAAGGGUCAGACGGUUUCACCAUGUCCCAGAUCUCGUCCCGAACGUCCUCUAUGCACAGCUCAUAGUUCCCACCUUCUAUCCAUUUCUUGUGAACAUCUCUGCAAGUUUUUAACAGAUGAGAUUUGAUAAGUUUAGAAGUAUCACACACCAGGAGGGUGUCUUUCAUUAUGGAGCUAGUGUCUUUGCAGAUAUGAGACUCGCGGAACAAAGCUCAGCUACCGCAAGCAGGAAAAUGCAGAGAUUUUUAUUUAAUAUAGGAAGAUUGUAUCAGAUAACAUCACAACUCUUUGAUGCUCCCCUUCUUCACUUCCAUGUCUUUUAAAAGAAAAUCUACUAAAAAACAAAUAGAUUCAGUCACUUGAUAGAGAGAUUCAUUUACCUGAAAAGAGAGUGAAUAUCAGCAGUGGUGAGAAAGCCUCUCCCCUGGAGAUCAAGACAGCGGAAUAAGUAUGUCAAACCCUCUGGAGUGUCUUUGUUCUCCAAAGCAAGAACGAAAUCUAGGAAGCUGUCGAAGUCCAUCUCUCGGGAAUUGACUCUGCUGCUUUUGCCACGGCGGACAUGCUCAUCAAACACUACAAAAGAGUAAGGAAUAUGAGGACUAUCACUAUUAAUGACUAUCAGUACCAUGAAAAGUAUAAAAUGACCAAAAAGUGUUUGAAGUUUACCUCUUUCGAUGAAAAUCUCAGUUAGCGUCCCAUCAGCGUAUUCUUUAAGUUCUUGUUUGCUCAGCGAUCCACUAGCAUCUUUAUCAAGUGCAAGAAACAUAUCUACAUAAGAAAAGAUAAACUCUAGAUCAAUUUGCGCCUGAGUUCUUCACAAGACAAAACAUAAGUUGUUUCCAAAUUAUCUGCAGGUAUUAUUUUAGACAAACACUCACCACAUACACGUUGAGCUGAAGUCAAUGAGAACCAAUUUUCAGCUUGUUCUGUCUCUGUGACUUCCUCCUCACUUUCCUAAUAACCCGGGGAACAAUCAGUAUGAAAACGUAGGUUCUGAAAUUGGAAAGCUAUUUACGCGCACUCAAUUUUCUUUUACUAAUCCUUCAUCUAGACUGACCUGAUGCAACUCCAUUAGUUCCUGCAGACAGUUACUGAGCAGUAUCUUCUUAAUACAGGCUUUUCCUGCACACAAAAAAAUAGAUCACAUUAAACACAUGGCGAUUAGAUACUCUACUCAUACUAGGUUGGGUUUAUUUCUCAUUGUUUCAUAAUUAUAUUAUCUUCAGUGCUGCCUACCUCGCCUAUGCGGAUCACAGAAGAAGAAAAACUUUUGAGCAGCAAUGCGGCAAUACGUUUGUCUAAAGGUCUCCAGCAUUUCCCUCAACUGUGCCAAAUUAGGGAUUAAACCCAUAAUAUAAGACUCCAUCUCCUACAAUAACAUCAGGUAUAGUAUUUGUAAAGAAACGUCUUGGGGAAAUUUUAAACUUUAGGCUUAGGGCCACUUUGGUACUUACAUGAGAUUGAAGGAAACCAUCAGAGUCUUGAUCAUGCUCACUCAUAUCAAUCCUAGCUUGUGUAAGCGACACCUGAACAAGUGAUGAACAAAUGAUUUAUCACAAUAAUCAAAGGGUAAUCCAAAGAUAUCAAAUGAUAAAAAAAAGAAGAUGAGGAUACCCACCGUGCGCAGCACAAUAUCUUUUGAUCCGUUUUUGUGCAUUCUCCAUUCUAGUACUCUGUUUUUGGCAUCCAGCGAUUUCACUUUCCUUUUUGAUCGGAUUUCCAUUUAAUUGCAUUUACUUUUUUUCUUGGCUUGCACUUCAAGUUUUUCCAUAUUUUACAAAAAAAAAAAAAAAGGAAGAUUUACAUUCAAUGCAUAUCAUAGUUAAAUAACCUUUUCCUUUUUCUUUUACCCUUUUGCAAAUCACUCUUUCUUUUCCUCUCUUGUCGCAGGAGACAUGGGAGACCUAAAUGGAGCACCCACACAAG
rnacentral:lncRNA from 1 species